AACGAACGCUGGCGGCAGGCCUUACACAUGCAAGUCGAACGGUAACGCGGGGCAACCUGGCGACGAGUGGCGAACGGGUGAGUAAUGCAUCGGAACGUGCCUGGUAGUGGGGGAUAACUGCUCGAAAGAGCAGCUAAUACCGCAUACGACCUGAGGGUGAAAGGGGGGGAUCGCAAGACCUCUCGCUAUCAGAGCGGCCGAUGUCGGAUUAGCUAGUUGGUGGGGUAAAGGCCCACCAAGGCAACGAUCCGUAGCUGGUCUGAGAGGACGACCAGCCACACUGGGACUGAGACACGGCCCAGACUCCUACGGGAGGCAGCAGUGGGGAAUUUUGGACAAUGGACGCAAGUCUGAUCCAGCCAUGCCGCGUGCGGGAAGAAGGCCUUCGGGUUGUAAACCGCUUUUGUCAGGGAAGAAAUCUUCUGGGUUAAUACCUCGGGAGGAUGACGGUACCUGAAGAAUAAGCACCGGCUAACUACGUGCCAGCCGCCGCAGUAAGAC
rnacentral:rRNA from 1 species